GACGAACGCUGGCGGCGUGCCUAAGGCAUGCAAGUCGAGCGGUAGCUCCUAUUGGUUAAAGCCGAUAGGAGUGAGAGCGGCGCACGGGUGAGUAACACGUAGGUAACCUACCCCAGAGAGGGGGAUAACACCUCGAAAGGGGUGCUAAACCCCCAUAUACUUACCGAGCGUAAUGCUCAGGUAAGGAAAGAGUAUAGAGGGGUAACCCUUUAUACUGCUCUGGGAUGGGCCUGCGGCCUAUCAGCUAGUUGGUGGGGGUAAAGGCCCACCAAGGCUAAGACGGGUAGCCGGCCUGAGAGGGUGGUCGGCCACACUGGGACUGAGACACGGCCCAGACUCCUACGGGAGGCAGCAGCCGGGAAUCUUCCGCAAUGGGGGAAACCCUGACGGAGCGACGCCGCGUGAGGGAAGAAGCCCUUCGGGGUGUAAACCUCUUUUCUCGGGGAAGAAGUUCUGACGGUACCCGAGGAAAAAGCCCCGGCUAACUACGUGCCAGCAGCCGCGGUAAGACGUAGGGGGCGAGCGUUGUCCGGAUUUACUGGGCGUAAAGGGCGUGUAGGUGGCUUAGCAAGUCAGAUGUGGAAGCCCCGGGCUCAACUCGGGGAGGUCAUCUGAUACUGCUAAGCUAGAGGGCAGGAGAGGAGAGCGGAACUUCCGGUGUAGCGGUGAAAUGCGUAGAUAUCGGAAGGAACGCCGAUGGCGAAGGCAGCCACCUGGUCCACUUGUGACGCUGAGGCGCGAAAGCGUGGGGAGCAAACCGGAUUAGAUACCCGGGUAGUCCACGCCCUAAACGAUGCGCGCUAGGUCUCUGGGUUUACUGGGGGCCGAAGCCAACGCGAUAAGCGCGCCGCCUGGGGAGUACGGCCGCAAGGCU
rnacentral:rRNA from 1 species